ACGUCGCGCUCUUCAGAUUGACUAGAUGAGUCUAACGCUCCUUGACGUAACGCAUUCGCCAAAUCAUAGUGCCUUUCGAUAGCAGUGUGAAAAUUUAAAAGUAUUAAGAAAUCGAGUGAUUCAGAUGUGGCAUUGUAUAAGCAUGGGUAUUUUCUAACUAUUUAUAUAAUUUUAACGGGCAUAUAUAGUAUUUUAAUACACAUUCACUCGGACGCUAAAAUAAAAUUUGUAAAAAAUUACAACGCCUGACGUCAAAGCGUCAUAACGCCGAGACCGAGCGUUGCGUACUUAUAGCGUUGGGGCUCUGUUUGACGGUAUGUUACCAUAGUAGUACAACACAUCUCGGCGUCAGUUUAGCGCUCUGACGCGCGCUAAUUACGCGUUCUGUUUGACGAAGGCUUUAAACAGUACAAAUUCAUUUCGAAAGGUUUUUAUUCAUUUCAUAACAAUGUUGCAACUAAUGUUACAAGCAUUCCCUAUCACAAGAGCAAUUUGAUUUAAGUAUGAAAAAUGAAGAAAACCAUAAUACUACGAAUCAAAAAAGAAGUUUCACUUCAUUCACGUCCACCAAGUUUUUUUCUACCUAUUCGCUAGUAGCCUAAGAGGUUAUUCCAGCUACGCCCGGACGGGUAGGUGAGUUCACGGGCUCAACCUGAGAGAAUUUGCUAACGCUAACCCUAGCAAGAGCAGUGCUACGCAGAAUCUACCAUCGGAUCGGAAUCGCGACCCACUGAGAAAACUCAGUUUGCUGUGUCUAUGGGUUAAUUCGCUCAUCGAACUCUUCGUCGUAAUCGACGAGUUCGACGACGAGGGCGGUGGCCGGUGCUUGAGGGUUCUAAAAGCACCGAGGGUGAAUCCGUGGGAUCCGACAAGACAUGUUUCGGCUUUGCGUUGCUCCGUCGCGGUCGGAUAAGUAAUUAGCGGCGGCCACGAUAACAUAAGGAUAAGGUUUUCUACACUUGCAUGGAUCAUGAAGGAACGUAUUCAACUUUUGUGGUGUCAUUUUGUUAUGAAGGGACAAUUUACUUCGCUUGCAGAUCACGGGGUAGUAGAGUCGACCUAGUAGUAAGUACUAGGAAGGACCUAGUAGUCGGUCGCGUACUGACUUAAUGUGAGACCAGAAUGCCAUUCCCCUGUCGAGAAUGACGACUAAGUACUUAGCCUUCGAAGCCCACGGUAUGGGCUGGUCAAAGAUUUUAAUGGCGGAAAUUGAGUUACUGCGCCUAAUUGGUGACGAGAUACUAGCAGAAGGAACCAAAUCUAUACUUGACAGCAUCCAACAAGAUUAAUCGAUAGUUGUCAAGUAUGCAUACGACCGUCUGUACGGCCAUGGGCGCCGUGCAGACUGCGGUUCGCUCGACGUUCCCAUUGCGUUACAAAACGGUGACAAGGUCGUCUCCUACGUGUCUUCCGUAUUUAAAAUAUUAUGAGACAUCGCCCAAGCCAGUCGAACAACUUCCCAUGUAGGGGUGACCGGGGCAAGAUAAUUUGCAUGAAAUUCACUCUGCACAAGUGCGUCCGAGCAGAGCGAUCGUGUUGGAUCUCGUUUUUGCGUUGUAUAGGAAAAAAACUGAUUUUGCAAGUGUUUUUUCCGGUUUUUGGUUAAGAAACUGAUGUGCAGACAUAUACAAUGGUUCGGAACUACAAACGAAAAACAGAUCGUGGCAAAUGGGACUCUGAAGUACUGGGUAUUAUGGGUUCUUAAUAACAGGAUGGGGCUUCCUCGAGCCUUUGCUACAUAUAAUGUUCCGCCGGCGUGUAAGAAAAACUCGUGAUACUGUGGAUGACGACACUGAUUCCGGUAACGACUAAGUAUGGCAAAAAGCAUUUGUGACGAUUCAAAACUCAUUUUACAGCAAAACAAGAAGAUGAGUUGGCGCAAGGUGUGAAAUCUAUGGAAGCACGGUUAACAGGAAAAUAACUUCGUGUAAUAGCUUAUCAGUUGGCUCAGCGAAAUCAUAUAGAUAGCCCACUUAAUGAAGAAACUGGCAUGGCAGGAGAAGAUUGGCCCAGAACUGACACCAGCCGCAAGAGCUAUGCAUAGCAUAGCCAUGGAACGUAUGUCCCACCCAUGUACAAAAUACGCUCGGAAGCAGAUGCGAGAUGAAUUUUUGGAUGAACGGAAGCGGAUGAAGACUUAUGGACAGAAGACUAUAAAAGAUAAAAAAAACGAAUACAUAAAGUUGGAAAUAGGAAGAUAAAAAGGGCUGAAAACAAGCGUCAAGCUAAAAGACUCGCCAAAGAAAUCGAAUCGAAAUAUAGUUCAUCUUAAGAGGAGGAUGGUGACUGAGCCUGCGUCUAUUGUGGUUAUUUACAUUAAGAGUCCACCGAGGGUUGGGCUAUCUGCAGUAUUUGCCAUGGUUGAGCACACGAUUCCUGUGCCGGAGUAGAUGAAGAAGACAACGGGGCACACAUUUGUGAACGCUGUCUACCCGAUUAAAAUACGUACUCCUUUUGCCCCGUAGCAUUUCCCAUCUUACCCCAUCCAUGGGGCAAGACGGGAAAUUCGCCUCAUUACCGUUAAUCAUUAUUUGUCAAAAAAGUUCUGUGAUUUUGCAUGAUAAAAUUAUUAAUUUUAAGAGACAAAUGUAUAAGUGUUACUUGUUUUCUUAAAUAAUUUAAUUAAAGAGUAUAAUUGUCUUUGUACAGCGAGUUUUGUCUUAGCUAUCUCAUCUUGCCCCGGUCUCCCCUAACUAUUUGAAAAUCUCUUUAUGUUCAUGAAAAAAUACAUGUUCUAUGUUAAUUGUCAUUUCAAGAGCAAAUUAUUGAUUUGAGGUAUAUAAUAUAAUUGAGGUGACAUCUGCCAUGAACUUUUGUCAAUUUGUCAAUGUUUUGUAUUGAUGAUCACUUUGUUGGUGCAACUUAUUAAAUAAAUAAAUAAAUAAAUCGAACAAACGAUAUAUAGGACAGGUAUUUUAAUCAGCUAUUCAAUUUAUCUGGUUACCAAAGGAAAUAGAUUACCUACUUCUUGUUAUUGGAAGACAGCAACAGCCCAGCCCCGACCAUUCGACGGGACAUGAUGACGGAACGUCUCCUUUUUAGAUUUAAAGGUAGCAGCUGGGCUGUGCCUACGGAUAAUGGAUUUUGGGAGUAACAACUACUUUCCAACGGGCACUAUGUCUACCUUCGUAGAAAGGAGAUGCAUGUGCCUUGGAGCCAUAUGGAAAUGGUAGUGCAAGGUAGAGAGGGAAGAGGUUGACCGAAGAAGACAUGGAGUGUGUGAAUGAUGAUAUUAUGAUAUGAGAGAGAGAGAGAGGAGUGAGUGUUGAGAUGAUGGCUGAUAGAAGAUAAUGAAUAGAAAAAUUCGCUGUGCUGACCCCACCUAGUGGGAUAAGGUGGAGACAAAGAAGACUAUCUGUCUACAAUUGCAAUAAAAAUGUUACACCAUGUUUAUUACAUACAUUCUUCUACAAAGCAAGUUUUAAAAUUAUCCUCAGCAGGUAGCAAUAGCGGAGCUGUCUUUGUCUGCCUUGAAUCAAUAAAAAAUGAAGCUGUA